rnacentral:rRNA from 1 species
GUAAGGAGUUUUCGGCAAUGGGGGAAACCCUGAUCUAGCCAUGCCGCGUGAGCGAUGAAGGCCUUAGGGUUGUAAAGCUCUUUCAGCUGGGAAGAUAAUGACGGUACCAGCAGAAGAAGCCCCGGCUAACUCCGUGCCAGCAGCCGCUGUAAUACGGAGGGGGCUAGCGUUGUUCGGAAUUACUGGGCGUAAAGCGCACGUAGGCGGACUGGAAAGUCAGGGGUGAAAUCCCGGGGCUCAACCCCGGAACUGCCUUUGAAACUCCCAGUCUUGAGUUCGAGAGAGGUGAGUGGAAUUCCGAGUGUAGAGGUGAAAUUCGCAGAUAUUCGGAGGAACACCAGUGGCGAAGGCGGCUCACUGGCUCGAUACUGACGCUGAGGUGCGAAAGCGUGGGGAGCAAACAGGAUUAGAAACCCGUGUAGUCC